UACGGGGGGGGCAAGCGUUGUUCGGAAUUACUGGGCGUAAAGGGCGCGUAGGCGGCCUUCUAAGUCAGACGUGAAAUCCCCGGGCUCAACCCGGGAACUGCGUCUGAUACUGGAGGGCUUGAAUCCGGGAGAGGGAUGUGGAAUUCCAGGUGUAGCGGUGAAAUGCGUAGAUAUCUGGAGGAACACCGGUGGCGAAGGCGGCAUCCUGGACCGGUAUUGACGCUGAGGCGCGAAAGCCAGGGGAGCAAACGGG
rnacentral:rRNA from 1 species